CAAAAGGGGGAAAAAAUAGAAGAACCCUAAGGAGGAAAAAUUCAAAAGAAAUUCAUUAGAUUUUAGGAAAAACGAAGUGAUCGGAGGUGGUGAACCCUUUGGUAAGUAUAAAGAUAUCGUACCCGAUGACCAGAAGUAGGAGUACUCCCAUCAUUGUUCAGAGCAGUCUGUAGACAGUCGAUUUUGUCGAGGGUUUGCUUUUGGAUUUGCACCCUUAAAAAUCGUAGGUCUACAGUCCUGUUUAUUUUUGUUAUUUUGGGGCUCACAUGUCAUUGUAAAAUAUUUUUGUAUACCCUGGCG
rnacentral:sRNA from 1 species